GCUGGUGGGGCUGUUCUUUCCCUUGUCUGGUUCAGCACCCCAGCAGAGCUGCCCAGCAUAUAGCAGAGGAGAUCGGUGGGGGGACUCUUGGGGAGUCAGAAGAUCUGCUAGGCGUUGGGAGGAGGAAGCAGUUUCUGGGACGUGCUGCCUAUUUCUACAUGAACGUGUUGGAAACAAUGUAACCUUGGUGACUGCAAUUUGAAUCACGGUGAAAAUAUUUUCUACUUCCUUCAACACUGAAUUGGAUUCAGGAGGCAUAUCGAAGGCUGUCAGCGGUUCUCUGUGAAUUGAAGUGUUCAAACUAGCAUUCGUGUGAUGCAAACAAUAAUCACCUUUAUUGAGCA